CGUGGUCGCGGGCCUCCGCGUCCUGCCUGGACGAGAUGAGGCGGAACGAGGGCUUUGGUGGGUGUAGAGUGAGACCAGAGCUCGGGAGUGUGCGGUGAGAAGUGGCGUGCGGACGACCGGACGGGUGGACCGUGAAUUUGGAGGGCCGCGGCUGGCGUGGUGAGCGUGCGUGCGGGAAGAGCAAGCCACGCUUACUAGGCAGGGGAGAUUUCAUGACCUCGAAGAUCGUCUUCCCAAUUGGAGUCUGCGUGACCUGUUCACCAGGCUGAGGCAAAAGCUUCAAGGAAGAAAGCCUCCUGGAAGGAUGUGCAUUUUCCAGAUAGAUGCAGAUCCUAAGAAGAGAGCUGCCCCAACAUAC